GGCCUCGUGGCCCAAUGGCAAGGCGUUUGACUACGAUAGCAUUCAGUAAUGAAUACUUCAGAGUAAUCAAGAGAUUCUGGGUUCGACCCCCAGCGAGGUCA